GGUGGAUCAGUGGUAGAGCACUUGCCUUGCAUGCAAGAGGCCCUGGGUUCAAUUCCUCAGCACCA
rnacentral:tRNA from 1 species